UGAGUGCCUCUGCUUUGUACUACUUGUGUCAUGUGAAAUAAAUUGGUCUUUAUUUUUAACUUAUGUGUUUGUUCCCAAAUAAUUGGUCUUUGAUCAUGUACAGGUUGGACAUUAAGUUUGUGUUUCUUCUAGUGUUGAAGUUGGUGCCAAAGUUUUUUUGUUUCUUCUAGUGCUGAAGUUGGUGCUGAAGUUAUACACGGUGCCAUUGCUGCCGAGCGGAGCGUUUUUUCCUAUGAUGCAAUGGAAUAUUUAUGAGGUCCAGGAGUUACCUUCUGUUUUUAUAGCUUUUCUUGCAUGGAGAUUAUAGCCAAGGUGUUGGAGGAGAGGAUAUGAUUUUGAUUUACGUCUGGAUAUGCUCUCAGAAUUUCACACAAUCAAACUUCUCUUGACUCUUCUUUUACUCAUCAAUAUUUUGUUUUGGAUAAUUUUUUGAUAUAAUUCUUUGUUUGAUAAUCGAGAGAUGUGUUUAUCCAUUUUGCAGUGGACUAUGAAGUUUCGAUGGAAUGCCUUGAUAAAAUGGACAAGAACAUGGAACGAAGGUAAUUUGUGAACGCUGAUUCCUUCUGGUUCUGGUUCUAUCUUUCUUUUGUUUGAUCUUCAUGUUUUUUUUAUUCUUAUUCUUUUCUGGUCUUUUGAUUUGAUUCUGGCUUAGACCGUCAUGCAUGUGAAUUAAAAUAUGACACGCUGUUUUCUGCGGUGUGUUUUGAAACAAUAACAUUCUAAGCAGCCUCAGGUUUAUUUGCUACCAUGUACUUGGGUUGUGAACUAUUUUUAUUUUCAUUUCUAUUCUGAUUGUCUAGUCGAUUUACUUCUUUGUUCUAUGUUUGACUUUUUUAUCUGAAUUCUGACAGUGCAAAAGUUUACAUGAUUCUUGGUGGUCUUCUCUUUGUAAUGUUGAUCUGCGACUUGGUGGUCUUCUCUUUGUAAUGUUGAUCUGCGACUUGGUUUGAAGAAUUAUGCAACUAUUCUUUCUUUCUUCUUGUUUAUUAUUUUACAACCUAUUUUUUCACAGCUUAAUCUUUUUGUAAAUGUAUCAUGUGGUGUUGGCAGAGCAAGUUUUACACGGGUUUGGUGUAUUACAAAAGUCUUCAUCUUUCUCAAUCAUACUACACCUUUUCAAUUCGCCGUCUGAAAUGUAGAAUACUGGAGAUGAGUUUCUUUGUCACUUAGUUCUACUUACCUUAUGUGAACAAAUUAACAAGGACACAUGAACCAUUAUGUUCUGAUGGUCGUGUUAUAUAUUUGCUAGGCUUUAAUUUGGGUUUCUCUUCUCUGAUUGGGCUUUAAUUUGGGUUUCAGGUUGAUGAAUUCCUUACAUUAUAUCCGUUUUAGCAUCUCCACACUUCUCGAUUCCUUUGUGAAAGCUUAGAGAGAGGUUAUCUCAGACUCUCCCUUUUUUAUCUUUGGGAAAUAACUUGGUAUUUUUAAGUUAUAUGUAUUUCGUCCAGUGUUGAAGUUUUUGUGUUUUUGUAUCCGUAACUUUAGUUUUACUCCGUGGUUUUGCACACAACUUCUGGAGUAACUCUUCCCUUCCCAAGGAUUUAGGAAUUUCGGACAACUUGAUUAGGGAGAGAUGAUAUUCUUCUACAGUUAUUUGUCGGUUAUGUUAAUUUUACUUCAUUGUUUUUCUAUUGAUUCUUGUUUACUCUCUCGAUUUACAGGAGAGAAAAAAAUGAAUGUGCAACUAUGGUGGUGAUUAUAAUUGGUUGGGGGGGGGGGGUUGCUUUAA